rnacentral:rRNA from 1 species
CGGACGGGUGAGUAACGCGUGGAAAACCUGCCGUAUACUGGGGGAUAACACUUAGAAAUAGGUGCUAAUACCGCAUAAGCGCACAGCUUCGCAUGAAGCGGUGUGAAAAACUCUGGUGGUAUACGAUGGUUCCGCGUCUGAUUAGCUAGUUGGUGGGGUAAUGGCCUACCAAGGCAACGAUCAGUAGCCGGCCUGAGAGGGUGAACGGCCACAUUGGGACUGAGACACGGCCCAAGCUCCUACGGAAGGCAGCAG